UACGGAGGAUGCGAGCGUUAUCCGGAUUUAUUGGGUUUAAAGGGUGCGUAGGCGGUCGGAUAAGUUAGAGGUGAAAUCCCGAGGCUCAACUUCGGAAUUGCCUCUGAUACUGUUCGGCUAGAGAGUAGUUGCGGUAGGCGGAAUGUAUGGUGUAGCGGUGAAAUGCGUAGAGAUAUGGAGGAACACCAGUGGCGAAGGCGGCUUCCUGGUCUGCAACUGACACUGAGGCGCGAAAGCGUGGGGAGCAAACAGG
rnacentral:rRNA from 1 species